AGUAUGAAUAUUCCUACCGUACGUAGGCCUAUACACAUUACCAGGCUAUCGAAUAACGCCUACACACACACACACACACACACACACACACGCACACACACACACACACACAGUGGCGGAGUGGUAAUCGGAAGAGUCGGUAGAAUUCCCGUCGGGCCGUUAACGUGUCGGGGCUGUCGGGCUGAUUACUGCGGGAUAACAAUAUUGCGUUUAUAAAUGUUCCUUGCAGCGCCGUCCGGCAGCCUGAGCUGUGCGCCCGCAAUCUCGGACUUAACUGUCAACGUCGCAACCAAGUCGAUUUUGUCUAGAGAGGAGUAACUGAGCGGGCCCUCCUGAAGUGGUAAAGCCCAGGUGGGCCUUGAACUGUGAUUGGGCAGAAAGACGUAACAGCUUAUGACAACAUUGAACUCUCGUGCUGGCUCGAACAAAGCGAUGUAGAUCUGUGAAUACUGACCUCCAAUGGUGAAAAGGUGCCUGACAAACUUUGGAAACAUAUUGACCAAAAUGUAAAACACCACUGAAUGUAAAUGAAUUUCUCAAGGGAAGCCUUUUUGCAAAAAACAACAUUAAUGAGAGAUGUCAUUCAUGUACCUCUGACAUUCAUACAUCAAUGGUCAAUGAUAGCAGGCUAAGUAUUGGGUAUUUAGCACUAGACUAGAGAUACCAGUCUAUCAAUCUAUGGGUGGUCAAAUGGGUUUUCCAGGCUGGUGGGAUGGCUAGGUUGGAGGCCCAUUAUAUUCUUUCAUAGGGUCCACAAUCUCUAGCGGUGCCCCCUGUGACGACCCUGGUGAGUCUUUGACUCCACCCUUGCCUAGUUCGUAGUCCGUAGGUUCUUGGUUCUUAGUUCGUAGUCCGUAGUCCGUAGGUUCUUAGUUCUUAGUUCUUAGUUCGUAGUCCGUAGUUCGUAGUCCGUAGGUUCUUAGUUCUUAGUUUGUAGUCCGUAGUAAGUGAUUAUGUGCAUACCUUCACUAAUUUCUCUCCUCUCUUGUCUCUAUGCCCCUGUCCCUCUUAGAUUACUUUUCCAGGCCUGUGCGUGAGGAGUGGUGAGAGUGUGUGUAUGGGGGGGUUUCUAGUUGAUCCGGUAGGAGUGUUGAUGUAACUGGUGUUGGUUGAGGGGAUGGGUAGUGCUUAUGUGUUUGGGUUUUGUUUUUUUUGAAUACCAUAAGUGCAGAAUCCCACUUAGGUGGGCUUCUGUCUUAAGGGGGGGGAUGUGACGACCCUGGUGAGUCUUUGACUCCACCCUUGCUUGGACUCCACCCUUGCUUGGACUCCACCCUUGCUUGGACUCCACCCUUGCUUGGACUCCACCCUUGCUUUGACUCCACCCUGGCUGUUUGGUUUGCCUGUUCUCUCUCUAUCUCUCUUAAUAGGUGAUGCAGUUCAGGUGUGCCUGUGUUGGCAGCAGUUAAAAGCCUGCUUUCACAACAGUCAUGGUCGCUCCCUCCUCCCGGCGUGUUGGUUUUCUUUGUCCUUUGUUUGGUUACACACAGACUGACUUUUGCAUGACACUUUGGGUUACUUUACAUUUAACUGAUUUACACCACACUUCUUUAUCUUUAUUCUAUUUAAUUAUAUGUAAAAUUAUCUUGUUACUAUAAUAAAUUCUUUUAUUAUUGUAAAA